AGGAUNCGAGCGUUAUCCGGAUUUAUUGGGUUUAAANGGUGCGUAGGCGGUUUGUUAAGUCAGUGGUGAAANGUUUGCGCUUAACGUAGACAUUNCCAUUGAAACUGGCAGACUUGAGUACAAAUGAGGUAGGCGGAAUGUGUUGUGUAGCGGUGAAAUGCAUAGAUAUGACACAGAACNCCAAUUGCGAAGGCAGCUUACUGGGAUGUAACUGACGCUGAUGCACGAAAGCGUGGGGAUCAAACAGGAUUAGAUACCCUGGUAGUCCACGCAGUAAACGAUGAUUACUAGCUGUUAGCGAUAGAAUGUUAGUGGCUAAGCGAAAGCGAUAAGUAAUCCACCUGGGGAGUACGACCGCAAGGUUGAAACUCAAAGGAAUUGACGGGGGCCCGCACAAGCGGAGGAACAUGUGGUUUAAUUCGAUGAUACGCGAGGAACCUUACCCGGGCUUGAAAUGUACCCGAAUAGACUGGAAACAGUUUAGCCAGCAAUGGCGGGUAUGUAGGUGCUGCAUGGUUGUCGUCAGCUCGUGCCGUGAGGUGUCGGCUUAAGUGCCAUAACGAGCGCAACCCUUAUUGAUAGUUACUAGCAGGUAAAGCUGAGGACUCUAUUGAGACUGCCACCGUAAGGUGCGAGGAAGGUGGGGAUGACGUCAAAUCAGCACGGCCCUUACGUCCGGGGCGACACACGUGUUACAAUGGAUGGUACAGAGGGGAGCUACUUAGUGAUAAGAUGCCAAUCUCAAAAACCAUUCGUAGUUCGGAUCGGAGUCUGCAACUCGACUCCGUGAAGCUGGAUUCGCUAGUAAUCGCGCAUCAGCCAUGGCGCGGUGAAUACGUUCCCGGGCCUUGUACACACCGCCCGUCAAGCCAUGGGAGUUGGGGGUGCCUAAAGAUUGUGACCGCAAGGAACGAUUAAGGGCAAAACCAGUGACUGGGGCUAAGUCGUAACAAGGUAGCCG
rnacentral:rRNA from 1 species